GAUGAACGCUGGCGGCGUGCUUAACACAUGCAAGUCGAACGAAAAGAUCCUGCGCUUGUUGGUUUCUCGUUUGCCGAACGCGUGAGUAACACGUGAGUAUCCUGUCCUUGUCUUUGUGAUAACUUCAGGAAACUGCGGCUAAUAUCGGAUAUGAUCUCCUGCUGCAUGUUGUGGGUUGGAAAGUUUCGGCUGUUGUGGAUCGACUCGAGGCUUAUCAGCUUGUUUGUGUGGUAGUGGCUUACCAAGGCUUUGACGGGUAGGCGGCCUGAGAGCGUGAACGGCGACAUUGGGACUGAGAGACGGACCAGACUGCUACGGGCGGCAGUAGUCGGGAAUAUUGCAGAAUGGGCGGAAGUCUGAGACAGCAACGCCGCGUGCGGAAUGACGGCUUUCGGGUUGUAAACAGAUUUCGCCUGUGACGAAGCGUGAGUGACGGUAAUGGGUAAAGAAGCAACGGCUAACUACGUG
rnacentral:rRNA from 1 species